AGCGAACGCUGGCGGCAGGCCUGACACAUGCAAGUCGAACGAACUCUUCGGAGUUAGUGGCGGACGGGUGAGUAACACGUGGGAACGUGCCUUUAGGUUCGGAAUAACUCAGGGAAACUUGUGCUAAUACCGAAUGUGCCCUUCGGGGGAAAGAUUUAUCGCCUUUAGAGCGGCCCGCGUCUGAUUAGCUAGUUGGUGAGGUAAAGGCUCACCAAGGCGACGAUCAGUAGCUGGUCUGAGAGGAUGAUCAGCCACAUUGGGACUGAGACACGGCCCAAACUCCUACGGGAGGCAGCAGUGGGGAAUCUUGCGCAAUGGGCGAAAGCCUGACGCAGCCAUGCCGCGUGAAUGAUGAAGGUCUUAGGAUUGUAAAAUUCUUUCACCGGGGACGAUAAUGACGGUACCCGGAGAAGAAGCCCCGGCUAACUUCGUGCCAGCCGCCGCGGUAA
rnacentral:rRNA from 1 species